rnacentral:rRNA from 1 species
UGGGGAAUAUUGCGCAAUGGGCGAAAGCCUGACGCAGCCAUGCCGCGUGUGUGAAGAAGGCCUUCGGGUUGUAAAGCACUUUCACUGGGGAAGAAAAGCUGGUGGUUAAUACCCAUUAGCCGUGACAUUACCUAGAGAAGAAGCACCGGCUAACUCCGUGCCAGCAGCCGCGGUAAUACGGAGGGUGCGAGCGUUAAUCGGAAUUACUGGGCGUAAAGCGCGCGUAGGCGGUUUGUUAAGUCGGAUGUGAAAGCCCCGCGCUCAACCUGGGAACUGCACCCGAUACUGGCCGACUGGAGUGCGAGAGACGGAGGUAGAAUUCCACGGGUAGCGGUGAAAUGCGUAGGUAUGUGGAGGAAUACCGGUGGCGAAGGCGGCCUCCUGGCUUGACACUGACGCUGGGGUGCGAAAGCGUGGGGAGCAAACAGGAUUAGAUACCCCCGUAGUCCA